UGAUCCAGCCAUGCCGCGUGAGUGAAGAAGGCCUUCGGGUUGUAAAGCUCUUUCGGCCGGGAAGAAAUCGUAUCAGCUAAUACCUGGUGCGGAUGACGGUACCGGCAUAAGAAGCACCGGCUAACUACGUGCCAGCAGCCGCGGUAAUACGUAGGGUGCGAGCGUUAAUCGGAAUUACUGGGCGUAAAGCGUGCGCAGGCGGUUUUGUAAGACAGGCGUGAAAUCCCCGGGGCUCAACCUGGGAACUGCGUUUGUGACUGCAAGGCUAGAGUACGGCAGAGGGGGGUGGAAUUCCACGUGUAGCAGUGAAAUGCGUAGAGAUGUGGAGGAACACCAAUGGCGAAGGCAGCCCCCUGGGUCGAUACUGACGCUCAUGCACGAAAGCGUGGGUAGCAAACAGGAUUAGAUACCCUGGUAGUCCACGCCCUAAACGAUGUCAACUAGGUGUUGGGUGGGUAAAACCAUUUAGUACCGGAGCUAACGCGUGAAGUUGACCGCCUGGGGAGUACGGCCGCAAGGUUAAAACUCAAAGGAAUUGACGGGG
rnacentral:rRNA from 1 species